AAAACUUACAGUCUCAGUUUUCUAUUUGCUAUCGCUGUAUGCAAUUCCAGUUACUUCGAUUUCAGAGUCAGACUUUGCAGACUCUCGCUGCAGCUCCGAUAACCUCUAUCCUGACUGGAAAGUCUGCAGACGUCACCAUCGAACCUGGCGACACAGACCUCACCCUGCAACUAACUGCGAAGUGUAUCUGUGCUUUACUCAAGUCUUUUUUUUUUUUUUCUUUUUGGUGAGAAAAAUUGUACUUUUUACUCCAUUACACUUAGUGAAACAUCUCGUUCCUUUUUUAUCAAAGCGAAUCAAAUAAUGAGUUGGGAGCCAAUGCACCGUAAGCAGACCAAUCAGAGCUCAGCACACGAUUGGCCGCGAACUCCCUUGGCCUAAUUUGGCCGAACUUUAUUAUUGAAUUAGAAUAAAGGAAUUUAUUAUUUAUUUAUUUCAAGAAUUCAAGAACACUGUGAAGUCUGUGUGUGUUCCCUGUUCCUGCCGUGUCUGUGACCACCCUCACCUGUGUGUCCGUCAUCAGUCUCAUUGGUGUCACCUGAGCCUCUACAGUACCGCAACUGGGUUCUGCCUGCUUUCUGCCAUGACGGCUAAAGUAAAAAAAAACCCCACUGGUGAGCGGAAAGAGAAGCGGAACUCAGCAGCUGCCUCCUUAUCACCUCCAUCCAGAGAGGGGCGUGGUCACGGCCUGUCUCCAGCCUCCUUCCUUCAGCUGUAUUUGGCUUUCUAAGAAUUGCUUCAUUCACUGAAAUCUUACCACAGCCUGACCUCCUUCAGCAGACACACACGCACAGUUUACUGGCAGUGCUGUCCUUUUAAGGGGAACGUGAAAAAACCCAAAAA